GACUGCUGUGUGUGAAGCACUCAAGAGAGCCCCUGCAACCAACCUGCCAGGAGUCAGCUCCUGAAAACAGGGUCGGAAAAGGGGUAUGGCACUCUUCCUCAUGCUUACCAGAUGGCUGCUGGAAUUCCAGGAAUCACAUGCCAAUUCUAGGCAGGAGCAAAGAGGAAGAGACACAGUGAAAAGGGGUAUACAGCGGCAGAAGGAUCUCCUUCUAUCACAGUGGCGAGAACUGUGACAAGUGACCAUCCUUAGGGGAAAAAAGAUGCUGAGAAAUGUAGAAUUUUGUUGCCACCUUACAUUUUCAAAGGAGUUCCAUUCGUAAGUACAGAACGCUCAGAGAAGAGGCAGCAGAUCUAGGCUAUGGAGCAGCAGCUCCUAAGGGCACAGUGGGAAGGUUUCAAGACCGAGCAGGAUCUGGGAUUUGGGUAGGGGAAGGCAGUUCACAGUAUUGUGGAGGAAAUGCUGUGAAAGAGAAAGUGGAAGGCAUGGAGGCUUAAACUUUUUAAUAUGACUGGCGAAUACAAGGAUGAAGGGCAAAGGGAAUUCAGAUUCAUGGUGGUCAGAUUAAGACCUUUAGCAGAUCUGUCUCCCAGCCCCACACACCCACUUCCAGGUUCUGCUUUUUACUGAAGCUCAAAGUCUGCAACCUUCGUUCUCUGACUCCCUUACAUUUUCUUAGGCUUCUUGCUAGCUUCUGCCAAAAAGAGGCCCUGGCAGGAGAUUAGAUGGCAGAGGGCAGAGGUAAGGAUUCCAUGCAACAGGUGCUGGAAGUUGCUGGUGUGGCAAUGAGAACUGGGCCCCGGUCAAGGGAGCACUACUUUGGUAGAUCCAGAAUCAACCACGAUAACCAUGACAGUGUCUUCAACAGUGCAGCAGUAGACACAGGCCCCUGGUGCUGGAAUCCAAUCCAGGGACUGGAGCAGCAUGGAGUCACCGAACACCAUCUUGCCUUCAUGUCACUUUUCCGUUUCUUCUUUCUCUCUCUUACUCCACCAGCUACCUGUGGAGAUGUUUAACCUUUUAUCUGCAGCUGUCUGCUUAGGAACAAAAGAAAAGGCAGCUUAUUGCAUGACUCAGCUUUCAGCUUGAUUUUUUUCUUUUGGCAGAGUGAAUUGGGGUCCCAGGUUUUUAUUUUCCUUUUGUAGUACCUUUCCUCAACAUGCAAUUUAAUACAAAAAGAACAAUAAACCUUAACUAAGUUUGGUGUGUAUUA
rnacentral:lncRNA from 1 species